rnacentral:rRNA from 1 species
CCUACGGGGGGCUGCAGUGGGGAAUAUUGGACAAUGGGCGAAAGCCUGAUCCAGCCAUGCCGCGUGUGUGAAGAAGGUCUUCGGAUUGUAAAGCACUUUAAGUUGGGAGGAAGGGCAGUAAGCUAAUACCUUGCUGUUUUGACGUUACCGACAGAAUAAGCACCGGCUAACUCUGUGCCAGCAGCCGCGGUAAUACAGAGGGUGCAAGCGUUAAUCGGAAUUACUGGGCGUAAAGCGCGCGUAGGUGGUUCGUUAAGUUGGAUGUGAAAGCCCCG